rnacentral:rRNA from 1 species
AAUUAAAUAUAUUUACACUAUUUUGUCUACUCCAUUUCUAUUUCUACUUUUGCCUUAUUACUAUCAAUCCUAUGUAGGAACACUUUUCCUUUUGUCUUUGCAAAGCAAAGGAAAAGUAGUAUGCUCCUCUCCCUCCCUAUCCUCACAAAGUGAGGGGAGAUAAAGGAGGGUCCUAGGGCUAAAUAUAACUGCAAAGGUGUAUAUUAAAUAUGGAAAAACAAAAAAAGUAAAAUAACUUAUUUAUAAAUAACUAUCACUCAAUCCAGUCUUAAAUAAAAAAAAAAGAAAAAACAAUAUAAUAAAAAUAAAAAUAAUAAUACAAAUUACUAUUUAUAUAAAUAAAUACUUUCUCCUUAUUAUUUAAAUAGAGGGAUUGGCUAUGCAAGAACUGGUA